rnacentral:lncRNA from 1 species
GUCUCAUAGGAUAAAGGGUCUCCCCUCAGAUGUUCUCUGGGUCUACAGCUCUCCCCAUGCUGCCCUGACUUAGGACCUCCUUGUACAACAGGGAGGGGUGAGCUGUGGAACACGGACACACACACCCCAUCCACAGCUGCCUUGUGAACCCCAGCAGUACCAGAGGGGUUGGGUGGCUCUCGAGGAGAACCAGCAUGGGGGACUUUCCAACUGGGGACUGGGAAGAUGAUCUGAAAGUCACUUCCCUUGUCAAAGCUGCUGGGUUGGGCUCUGAGAGCAGAAAGAUGCCUCUUUCUUUACGUUCUUACUCCCGGGAAUCUGCUUCUCCAAGCAUUCAGCAGUUACCAGGUACUUCUUUUGUUCUUUCAUGUGUGUGCACACGUGUGCAUAUCUGUGGGCACAUAUGAGCAUGUGCGUGUGAAGGCCAGAAGGAUAACCUCAGUGUCAUCCCCACCACCUCCUCAGAGACGGUCUCUCAGUAGCGUCCUGGCUGGCCAGCAGGUCCCAGGAGUCGGUGCUGAAGUCCCAACUCCAGGAUUUCUCAAGCAUUUACCAGAUGAGCCACCCUGCCCGUCCCACACCCGCCAGCUUCAAUGCUUAUCCAAGGCUGGCCCUCAUACCCACGGGACAACUGCUAUUAUUAAUCCAUUCGCAAAUGAGGAAAAAAAAAAACCAAGG